rnacentral:rRNA from 1 species
GAUGAACGCUAGCGGCAGGCUUAAUACAUGCAAGUCGUGGGGCAGCGCAGUGUAGCAAUACAUGGGCGGCGACCGGCAAACGGGUGCGGAACACGUACGCAACCUUCCUUUAAGUGGUGAAUAGCUUUCGGAAACGAAAAUUAAUACACCGUAACAUUAUGAAGUGGCAUCAUUUUAUAAUUAUAGCUCCGGCGCUUAAAGAUGGGCGUGCGCCUGAUUAGGUAGUUGGCGGGGUAACGGCCCACCAAGCCUGCGAUCAGUAACUGGUGUGAGAGCACGACCAGUCACACGGGCACUGAGACACGGGCCCGACUCCUACGGGAGGCAGCAGUAAGGAAUAUUGGUCAAUGGACGCAAGUCUGAACCAGCCAUGCCGCGUGGAGGAUGAAGGUCCUCUGGAUUGUAAACUUCUUUUAUUUGGGAAGAAACCCACGAUUUCUAUUGUGGUUGACGGUACCAGAUGAAUAAGCACCGGCUAACUCCGUGC